ncrna:unclassified sequences IMES-2 RNA motif
AAUUUAACUGAGGGCGUAAGUUCUCAGCACUCAUCAAGAAGUAGGCUUAGGCCAAUUGCUUGGUGGUGAAAGUAGAGGGAAGGUAGCACUUCGACGCCUCUAAGUACGCUGUGGGAGUAGUGCUUAAAUCACACGGCAA